rnacentral:rRNA from 1 species
GCUUGUCUCAAAGAUUAAGCCAUGCAUGUCUAAGUAUAACUCUUUUACUUUGAAAACUGCGAACGGCUCAUUAUAUCAGUUAUAGUUUCUUUGAUAGUCCCUUACUACUUGGAUACCCGUAGUAAUUCUAGAGCUAAUACAUGCAUCAAUACCCAACUGUUCGCGGAAGGGUAGUAUUUAUUAGGUAUAGACCAACCCUCUUCGGAGGUGCUUUGGUGAUUCAUAAUAACUUUUCGAAUCGCAUGGCUCCAUGCCGGCGAUGGAUCAUUCAAGUUUCUGCCCUAUCAGCUUUCGAUGGUAGGAUCGAGGCCUACCAUGGCGUUUACGGGUAACGGAGAAUUAGGGUUCGAUUCCGGAGAGGGAGCCUGAGAAAUGGCUACCACAUCCAAGGAAGGCAGCA